rnacentral:lncRNA from 1 species
GCCUUCUUAGCCGAUGCAAGGUCUUUUUAAGUCCACCGUGUCCAGCUGUGUGGUCUUCGUGGGCCUUGGAGAUGAGAGUUUCCGUCAGAGACGCGGGAAUCCAUAAUUUCCAAAUGGUCCCUUCCACUUGGUCGUCCAUUUGCGUGAAAGCCAUCCGCUUGAAUAUCACAUCCCCUUCCACUCGUAGGUCAGGCAACAUAUCUUGAUUCUUGCCGAUUUCUUCUUUCAGCUCCUGAUAUUCUGAAGACUCAAACUCUGUCGUCUGGAAUCCGAGGAUCUUCGUUGGAUCUAUCACCACUUCGUCGAUGCAGCGUGAGAGUGUAUCCGCCACGACGUUGUCGACUCCUUUCCGGUGUUCGAUCCCAAAGUCAAACCUCUGCAGUCGCAAUGACCACCUCGCAAGACGUCCGUUUAGAUCCUUCAAUGACAUGAGCCAUUUCAGGCUGGCGUGAUCCGUAAUAACCGUGAAGGGCAUCAAUUCAACGUACGGUCUGAAUUUUUCAAUGGCCAACACCGCAGCUAAACACUCUUUUUCCGUUACAGAAUAAUUUAGCUGAUGCUUGUUUAACUUGGCGGAGAAGAAUGCCACCGGACGCUCGGCUCCUUCGACGUCCAACUGAAACAACACCGCUCCCACUCCGUAAUUCGAUGCGUCGCACUGUACAUAGAAAUGAUUCUUGAAAUCAGCAUGACUUAAUACCGGAGCCGUGGUGAGUGCCUUCUUCAGGAAUCCUAUCGCCGUCUCGGCCUCCGUGGACAGGGAAAACUUUCCACGCGGAUGCUUCUUCAGCUCGUCUGUUAGCGGCACAGCAAUGGAAGCGUAAUCCUUGAUGAAGCGCCUAUACCAUCCUGCGGUUCCUAGGAAGCUUCUUAGUUCCUUCACUGAACUCGGAUUGGGAAUCCUUUGAAUGGCCAAAACUCUUUCAGGAUCCAUCUGCAACGUGCCACCUCCGAUGAUAAAUCCCAGGUAUUUCAG